UGGGGAAUUUUGGACAAUGGGGGCAACCCUGAUCCAGCAAUGCCGCGUGAGUGAAGAAGGCCUUCGGGUUGUAAAGCUCUUUUGUCAGGGAAGAAACAGUAGCUCUAACACAGUCUGCGAAUGACGGUACCUGAAGAAUAAGCACCGGCUAACUACGUG
rnacentral:rRNA from 1 species